rnacentral:rRNA from 1 species
UACAGGGGGUGCAAACGUUGCUCGGAAUCAUUGGGCGUAAAGCGCACGUAGGCGGUUUGUUAUGUCGGAUGUGAAAGCCCUUGGCUCAACUGAGGAAGUGCAUCCGAAACUGGCAAGCUAGAGUACUAAAGAGGGUCGCGGAAUUCCCGGUGUAGAGGUGAAAUUCGUAGAUAUCGGGAGGAACACCGAUGGCGAAGGCAGCCCCCUGGGUCAAGACUGACGCUCAUGCACGAAAGCGUGGGGAGCAAACAGG